GUUCGGGUCACGGGGGCCGAGCCAAGAGAAAGGCGUGCGCUCUGUCUCAAGUUGUCACAGCCGUGUAAACAGACAAGAGGGCGCAUUCAAGAGACGAUGGUCACGUCCAGUCCACGUUCUUGGCGUAAGCGCAGCUCCGCUAGGCACGCCAGGGGAGCCUCACUGUGUUGGCAGCCACCAUGCUAUAAGAAGUCUGCGUGAGACCCCGUGUUGGGGUGUUCCUGUUGAAGCUCCAGCUGCCCCCGCAGCAUGCCGUCACCCGACGUGAGCCAUCUUUGACAUUUGCACGGGACCGUCUUCAGAUAAUUCCAGCCCCCGCUGAAUUCUGACAUGCAAACAACAUGGGACACCCGAAGCAAGAACCCACCAGCUAAGCUCAGACAAGUCCCAAACGUCACGAAAUUCUGAUGCAUCCAUGUUUCAAGUUAAAAGCUGUGGAUGGCUUGUUACAUACAGCCAUGGAUAACUGCAACACCCGCGGGUCCUCAACCAAUCUGUAGGAUGAUGCUCCGCUCAGGCCCAUCUGAUAUGUAUGUUGACAGGAUGUCCGUAUGUUCAGCAUCAGUAGAAACCACCUGGGAGUUUUCCAAA
rnacentral:lncRNA from 1 species